UACGUAGGAGGCGAGCGUUGUCCGGAAUUACUGGGCGUAAAGCGCGCGUAGGCGGUCUGUCGCGUCGGCGGUGAAAGCCCUCGGCUCACCUGGGGGAGGUCCGCCGAAACGGACAGACUGGAGGGCGGUAGGGGCUGGCGGAACGCCCGGAGUAGCGGUGAAAUGCGUUGAGAUCGGGCAGAACACCAGUGGCGAAGGCGGCCGGCUGGGCCGACCCUGACGCUGAGGCGCGAAAGCCAGGGGAGCGAACGGAAUUAGAUACUCCGGUAGUCCUGGCCCUAAACGAUGGCAACUAGGUGUGGGGGGUAUCGACCCCUUCCGUGCCGCAGCACACGCGAUAAGUUGCCCGCCUGGGGAGUACGGCCGCAAGGCUAAA
rnacentral:rRNA from 1 species